CCUAGGAAGAGCCAGCCCAACGUUGAGGAAUCUAAAUUUUGAUCCUGUACAUAUACAGGCUUUCAGAAUUUUCCUAAACUUCAUGUAGGCUUGCAAAGAGACAACUGCACCUCGAUCUUCCGUAUGACCUAUCGGGCCUUCCUGUCUUAUUCUGCACUGUACGUUGUAUCACUGUCCUAAGUUAUUUGGUUAUAGAAGAGAUGGGUCUUCAAAAGACUUAAUGUGGCUAUUUGCACUUGAACAUGGUACCAUCUGAAAUCAAAUAGAUAAACAGUGCAUUACAUUUUAGAGAGAAUUGUAUUCCCAAAAGAGGCACCAACAUCUUUGUAAGAGAUUGUUGUUAGAGAUUAUGACUGAGAUUGAAAACAAUUUUGUGAUCCCAAUCUUCUAUAGGAAGAUUCUUCUACAGGAAGCAGUCUGAGAAAGCUACACAGGUCCUCCAAAAGCCACAUUUCCAAUGCUGUCUCCAUAUGUGGCCAAGAAUCAUCAUGAGAAACAAGACCCUUUCAGGAAGUGGACCAAGAUCCCAGGGAGCAGACCCAGGGCUUCAUCAAGGAGCAUUCUCUGUGCCCAGGAACAUGGUGCUUGCAAAGUUUGAAUACCACAAUUUCAGAAUUUCUAUAGGCCAGUGACUGCUGUGUUCCUCUUGUCUUCCCCUUCUUUGGCUUGGCCAUGUAUGAGAGUGAGAGCAACAGAAUUCACUGCUGCCCAGAAGCUUUAAAUGGUAUCUCAUGGAUCUCCCACUGCUCUUUUUUCUCUGGAUGUCCUGGAUAGGAACUUCUUCUUCAAUUUGGGUCCUGAAAUGAAGACAUCAUGAGCAUAGCCAUUGUCACUCUGUGUAGGACAAGUAGUAUGAGUGAGAAAUAAACACUAGUUGCUAUGA